ACGUCACUUCCAUCCCGGAAAUUGGCGGGCGGAGGAGGGACUAGAAAGUACUUAGAGCAGGAGAAGCUGGGUGGAGAAUCUGACCAUACUUACCUUCGUCUUUUCUGUGAGGAUUUCUGUUGCGUGUUCCCCGACCUCUGAGGAGAAUCACCUUGCAAGCUCUUUAAAAAUACUGAAUGAUACCUGGGAAUUCUAAUUCAUUCGCUCAGGUUAGAACAUGGGCAUCUACUGUGCAGCAAGAACUAAGAACCACCAACCCAGAGCAUUUUGCUGCUUUAAAAGUAUCAUGAAAUGCCCCUGUCAGCAGUGACAUGAACUAGACAGCGCUGGAAGAAAAUGUUGGAGGAUGCAAUGAGAAGGUGGCUGUCCGCACGUGCAGUCCACAUGGACCAGAGAGAGCUCUUGUGAGUAACUAAAUCAGCAAGCACCUUGAUCUCAGACUUUGUAAGCCUCCAAAACAGUGAGAAAAUAAAUUCCUGUUGUUUAAGCCACCAAUCUAUGGUAUUUUGUUAUG